ensembl:lncRNA
CUACAUGUGACCAGUGGCAGACAAGCAAGUAGUUUGCCCUUGCUGCCAGAAUAGCCAAGCCUCCAAACUAUCCAAUCUCCUGCUUUCCAAAGUCCUCGCCCAUGGAACAGUGACACUGUCAUCUGAGGAUAGAUAUCCAAGGGAACAUAUUCAGACUGAUGGGCAUGCUGACAGAUUACACAACGGCACUCGAGGCCAGACUUUCACCUGCUUUGGCAUUGCCGCACACGUGCCGUCAUGAACUCAAACAGAGGUGCAUUCGAGGAAAUAUUGACAUCUAUUGAAUUUUAUUUGCAUUUUAUCUGCAAGAUUGUCACAAAUCUGGCCUAACAUUAUACAAGAAAAAUUGCUCUCCUGUAGCUCUGGGUUUUUGUCAGAUCAUUUUGUGUUCUCGUUUUGUUGGCCCAGAAUGAUAGGAAUGAUAGGAACUGAUGGAAUCAGAAAAAAGUUUAAGAAUUUAAAUGAUUAUUGGAAAGGUAUUUAUGGUGGAACAUUGCAUCUCAAAGCUCCAGGGUUUGAGUGUGUCUAGAGUCUGUGGUCUCCCUACAUGUUCUCCCCAUGUUCCUGUGAGUUUCCUGGUGGUUGGAGUCUGAGGUCUCCCUGCAUGUUCUCCCCCUGUUCCUGUGAGUUUCCUAGUGGUUGGAGUCUGAGGUCUCCCUGCAUGUUCUCCCCAUGUUCCUGUGAGUUUCCUAGUGGUUGGAGUCUGAGGUCUCCCUGCAUGUUCUCCCCAUGUUCCUGUGAGUUUCCUAGUGGUUGGAGUCUGAG